rnacentral:rRNA from 1 species
UACGAAGGGGACUAGCGUUGUUCGGAAUCACUGGGCGUAAAGCGCACGUAGGCGGAUAUGCCAGUCAGGGGUGAAAUCCCGGGGCUCAACCUCGGGACUGCCUUUGAUACAGCAUGUCUUGAGUCCGAUAGAGGUGGGUGGAAUUCCUAGUGUAGAGGUGAAAUUCGUAGAUAUUAGGAAGAACACCAGUGGCGAAGGCGGCCCACUGGAUCGGUACUGACGCUGAGGUGCGAAAGCGUGGGGAGCAAACAGG